CACGGAUCGACGUAUACGUAUCGACCAUAUUUGUUUACAAUAAUGAUUUUACCCCGAUCUCAAUUAAAAUAAAAUGCAUUAUAUAAUAUUUUCAUCGGGACCAACUUGACUUAAUUUAUCCUUUCCUCAUAUACGUGUUAUACGAUACGUCGAUACGGAUACGCCAGCAAAUACUUGAUUAAUGCAAAUGCUCUAAUAGAGCAUU
rnacentral:lncRNA from 1 species